rnacentral:rRNA from 1 species
UACGUAGGGUGCAAGCGUUAAUCGGAAUUACUGGGCGUAAAGCGUGCGCAGGCGGUUUCGUAAGACAGAUGUGAAAUCCCCGGGCUUAACCUGGGAACUGCAUUUGUGACUGCGAGGCUAGAGUGUGUCAGAGGGGGGUGGAAUUCCACGUGUAGCAGUGAAAUGCGUAGAGAUGUGGAGGAACACCGAUGGCGAAGGCAGCCCCCUGGGAUAACACUGACGCUCAGGCACGAAAGCGUGGGGAGCAAACAGG